rnacentral:ncRNA from 2 species
UGAUACCAGGGUCAAAAGGUCUAAACCCACAUGAGCUUGCUCAUAGGUGGGUGAAAGACCUUGGGACCCGCCCCGAUAUGAGCAUAAAAGUGGGAUGAUAAUCCCAUGAUAUGCGAAUAUUGGGGAGAAUUGCGGGAGUGCGUAGCACGGAGUAAUUCGUAGGUAUCA